AUAGUUUUUCUUUAUAGAAUCACUGAAACAACAAUUUAAGCCUGAACCUGAAUCAUUCAAUUCUUUGUGAAUCAUUAUUCCAAAUACUGUCAUUUUAUGUCAUUUCUGCAAGGUUUUCAAGAGCAUAUUUGUUUUUACAGAAUUAAUGUGAUUCAGUGCAGUUGAAUAAUUCAGGCAGGUUGUGUGUGAUAGUUGACAGUUACACUCAUGACAUCACGGCACAUUCACCCUGGUCUCAAGGGCACCACGUACACCUCACUCCUGCCUUCCACAUGAACACGUACUUGAGUCCCGCCACCAGCAUCAUCCCUAUCCCACCGGAGUAUGGUGGAAUUCUCACCUCGUGUUUACGUUGCUUACCACCUACAAGCUCAGCCCCUUUUUGCCGUCAACAGACCUAUUGAACAUCCUUGCGCGUCUCCCCUCCCCUACUUCCCUGUGACACAUUGUGAUUCACCGACUCCGAACUCUCUCCCCCCUUUCACCAACUUUAGAGUACAGAGAGUGCGCUGGACUGUGAAUAGUGGUAGAAGACAGCUCCCCGGUGAGUCGUCUGUUAUCGUCUCUUUGUCCUGGAAUAGUCAGACACGAUGAGUCACUCCCUGACAUUGCACACCCCUCAUUGAAUUUCCUCACCCUGCACUUAGUGGCCAACGUUCUCACUGAAACUGCUGGCUGUUCAUGGCUCGGUGUUUGGCCCACGAUGAGCCGACGCCGGUAUGAUCCAGGAGAAUAGAGACGUGUGGCAAGCAGCUCUUUUCAAUCCAGAAAUGGACCCAGUUGGUUGCUGGUGAAUUAUUUAUGUUAGCCAAGCAGAACAUGGUGACCUAGAAACUGGUGUAAGAGGGGUAAUUAAAAGACUUGUUAAAAGUGUCUUGCAUGAGGGAUGGGGAGGUUGGAGGAUAAAAAUGUGAGAGACGAGCACCAAUAUGAUGUUUUCCUAUUUUAUUUUAGCUUCGGACAGAACCUCACUGUGCAGUUUAAUAUUUCAUAUCACCUAAUUUUCCCUUCUGCAGCCUCCUCCGUGUCAUUUCUCCAACUUGUUUUCCUACAAUGUAAGCUCACACUCAGAUGUGGCAGGAUAGCAGUGGAGUCAGUUUCCUCGCCAUGAAAAAUGCUCAAGCUGCCUCCUGCUAUCGGAGGAUCUGUCAGAGGAACACAAUGUGAAGGCUGAGCUCUUUGGCCCAGCAAGGAGGCUGAAAGUGGUCAAAUUGUCAUCAGGUUUAAGGGCGAAAAACAAUUUGUAAAAAGGCGAGUGCUGUUUAAUACGUAAAGGACCUUUUGCUUUAUAUGGUAAUGAAUUUCAAAUGUCUUCCUCACUUCAGGAGCAAGAGGCUGCGGUGAGGGCCUUACAGCUGUUUUGUGGAGAUAAUUGAUUUUGGAAUAGACCGACGAGAGCGCGGGCAGGCAGGGUUGACGGUGCUCUACAGCGGGGUUCGAGCCAAUUUCCGCAGGCCUCGUCCCUUUAAUUACAGCGGCGCUGGAGCGCGGGACACAGCAGCGCUCUUCCCUGGGCAAAUUAAACCCCCUCACCAGCCUUGCGUCUUCCCUCCCCCCGCCAUGCAGAGGCCUGAUGAAUAUUUCAUGGCUCUGCCUCUCUCUUCGAGCCUAAGGUUAUGGCUGCCGGCAGAGCUGACAGUGCUGCUUCCUCUGUCCUUCCAGAGCAGCGAGGAAAGUGUCACAGGUAAAACAGAAGAAACAGGGAAAUGACAGAGCACCCGAAGUGUUUUGAAUGCCUUGACCAUCACAAAUCAGUCUUGGAAAAGCAAAAGACCAAUCCUGGAUACUGAAAUAAUCCAACAUACUUCAGAAUAUACUAAUAGUGCUUCUACAAUUACAUUUUGAUUCAUCUUCCUUCUACAUUCAUAUGAAAAAAUGUUGUUUUCUCUGUCAGAGGUGAUUAAGAUUGCAGCACAGUUCGCUGAGGCUAGAUAAGAACUUAUGUUCUUUAACAAUGUCUCUACAAGCAUCUUACAGGCUGAUGGAUCUGGUUUGGGACUCACUAUGUUUCCUUAUUUUUUUUUUACUUUUCUCACAGUGACAGACCUGUUGUGUAAAGAUUGUCCAUUGUAAACAUAAUGCUGUGUUCUUUUGGCUUGUUACAACCUGUUUGAAGUUCAAGAACAGGUAACAAAAAAAAAAAGGUAACAUUUGGAAAGCUUUAUUUAAUUUCUGAUUUAUUGUACUUUCUGAAUACUGAUUGGAAAAGAUUAGAUUAAUCAUGAUUAUUUUAAUAGUUCUUUAGAUUAAGAAAUUAAAAUAUGCAUAGCUUUGUUUAUUUUUAAGUCCGUCUAAAUAUACUUAAAAAUUGAUUGGGUAGAACAACUGUUAGUGGGAGUUUAAUAUUGGUAAAACACCUCCAUUCAUAAAUUAAAGGUUAGGAGUUUUUUUCUUUUUUCUUAAAAAGGCUGCAUUUAUUAAAAAGUAAAAAAUAAUAAAUAAGUAAAUAAAAUACAGACAACGGGUAUACUGUUAAAUAUUAUUUAAACUUAAAAUAUUAUAUUUUUAUAUAUUUAAAUAUGUUAUUUAUUCCUAAGAUGGCAAAGUUGAGUUUUCACCCGCCCUUACUCCAGUCUUCAGUUUCACAUAAACCUUUAUAAAUCAUUAUAAUAUGCUGAUUUGGUGCUUUAAAAAAAAAUCAUAUUAUUAUCAAUGUUGAAAAAAGCUGCUUAAUAUUUUUGUGAAAACCAUACAUUUAUUUCAGAAUUCUUUGAUGAAUAGAAAGUAAAAAAUAAUUGAUAUAUAUAUGUAAAAGUAUUAAUUUCCUCAAAUAAGAAAGAUUGUCAUACUUACCCUAAACUUUUAAACAAUAGUGUAUACUGUUAACAUCCGUUACAAUAAAAUUUAUAAUUUUUGGGCUUCAGUGCAAAAGACAAAUCCAGUUUGAAAACAAAAUUUGGAAGGCCCCUGAUCUAAACUGAAAAAGCUACUGGGUUCCUAUUGGCCAUUGUUUUCUUAGCAUUAUUAUCAUUAAUAUAAUGAACAAUUUCUUCUUUCAUGACAAUAAGUCAGCACUUGUGUGACUCUCAUACAGCUUGACCUUUGGUGGCUUCGGCGCUGCAUUUUGACAAAGGACGGAGUAUGAAAGAGUAAGAAGAUCAGAGAAAAAUUUCACAGACAGGUCUCAGUAUAAAUAAGUAAAAAGCCAUAAUGAUUAUGUUAGCAUUCCAUAUUCCAUAUUGAUCUACACAGCAUGCCUGGAUCUGAAGAUGAGGGGCUAAACCCACAAUCUCCACCCCAGGCUGUGUAUAUCGCAGACCCCUUUUGUCCUGUCUCUGCAGGCUUUAGUCUCGCUUCUGCCUGUCCUCAGAGACCCCACAAGGAGGAAUCAGAAGGAUUACCGUAUACCCUGUUAAUCAGACGAGACUCCAUGAGGAGGUCCUCAAAUGGACUAUAAGACUGGUCUUUACAUUUGAGGUCCUGUCUUGCAGCAUGAUGCGUCAUGUUCACUAAAGACAUAAUUUUAAGUCUGCUUUUGAGGUAGAAUGGGGAUCAUUAUUUCAUGAGACUCGGGAGGGGCCUGAGCGACAGGGGCUGUGGUAUUGGGGUGUGUUCGUCCUCAGCUCUCCAAAAUCAGCUUGUCUGAAGAGUGCAUUUCCAUGUAGAUCUAGGCCGCGGUUUCCCUCAGCACUUCACCGGCCUGCCACACCUAAGCCCAUCGUCCUCUCGCCGUCUUGAGGCUUCUCCAGGAAUACACAUUGAGCUGUCUGUCAGGCGCUUCGAUGCAUUUUUUAACAGAGUCUGAAUCAAAAAGCCAUGAGUUGUAUCUCUCCUUUGACAACCUAAAUUGCAACUGAAUUCUGACCUUUCGUGAUUUAUCAGUCCGAAGGGGACGUUAAUCAGCUUGCAUAAGAUUAAUUACAAGCGAUUAUAGAUUGAACGAGUGGUAAAGCACCACUUGUCUUAAACACUAUAAAAGAAGCAAAUGCACAAACUGUUAGUGGAAGGAGGGGGCUGAGCUUUCAAAGAAAUCAUGCAGGGGGACUGCCUGUCGAGGUGGAAUUGAAUGUUUUUGCCGUUUAGCAACUGUUUAGCAUUUAAUUUCGCAUGUGACGCUUAAUGAGCCCAGCCCCGGCUCUGAUCUCUCGGUGUUAGCUGAAUUGAGAAUUAAUUGCGCUCGUUCACUCUCUCCACCAUCCUCUCUGCUCGUCCUGACACUGUUCUAGUCUCCGUUUACGUGGAAGCUCACAGACAGCAAAAUACACUUUUCAGCUUUUUUUUGUUUAAGCCUACACGCUGACCUCUUGUGGAAUUUCCCUCGUUGUGAAAAAGGAGACCUGUGUGUUCUGUCAAUCUUGAGCUCUGUGUAUUAGCAAGCGUGCUGGUUUUCCACCUGUGGAGUGGUUUAUGAGUUUAUCUCGAUAUGGAUCCAGCACAUCAGGCAAAUCAUUGACUUAAAGUCACUAUAAUAAAGCAUGGACAUAUUCACUUAAAUAUAUUUAAAAGAGAGACAGAUGCAGUGAAUGUCAUUAGCUUUGCUUUGUGAAACAGCUGGAAGCUCUUUGAAAUAUUGUCCAUUACUAAAGUCAUCAUGUAAACAUCUCAUCUUUAAUCAUGUUGUGAAUGGAUUUAGUGCUUUGUGCAAUAUGACAUCUGCUGCCAACGUAAAUUGGCAUUAACACCCUUUAAAUCUCUCCCAGCUGCUGUGGAUGUUUCCCCCAGAGGAAAGCGUUGUCUGCAGAUGUUUCUAGAAGGUCUGAUUGACUCCACACGACGUCAGAGCUGGCAGCUCGGUGAAGGUGAAGGGCGACUUGUUGCAUGAGGAACUGUGGGUACCCGUAUGAUUCACAAGGAACAAUUACGCACCAACGAAACUACUCUUAUGAAGAGCAAGUUCAUCUGGCAAAUUUAGGUUUCGUGUUUACUCUGUAAUUCUGUAACAGGUUUGUAAAUGUUGUUAAGCCAUGCCACCCUGAUAAGCUGCCUUCAGCUUUACCGGGGAUUAUUAAGACUUCUCCAGCGACGAAAAUCCAAAAGUAAUCGCAGAUUAAUUUUGUAUCCUGUUAUCUGUAACUUUAAUAAAUGGUUUUGACCGUC